UGGCGGACGGGUGAGUAAUGUCUGGGAAACUGCCUGAUGAGGGGGAUAACUACUGGAAACGGUAGCUAAUACCGCAUAACGUCGCAAGACCAAAGAGGGGGACCUUCGGGCCUCUUGCCAUCGGAUGUGCCCAGAUGGGAUUAGCUAGUAGGUGGGGUAACGGCUCACCUAGGCGACGACCCCUAGCUGGUCUGAGAGGAUGACCAGCCACACUGGAACUGAGACACGGUCCAGACUCCUACGGGAGGCAGCAUG
rnacentral:rRNA from 1 species